rnacentral:lncRNA from 1 species
CUCCUGUUUAGACCACAUCCUACUGAGACCAGGUCUCCCUCAAAUACCUUCCAAUUCCCUCUCCCAUUCAUGGACAUUCAUACUCAUUUGUUUUCUAGUUGUCAGGGAAAAGCAACUAUAAUCUGUUUGUAGCCAGGAAGGCUCAACCAGUUGAGUCUGUCCAAAUAUUCAAAUAGAAGCAACAAAUGUUGAAGAAAGAAUUUAAGAAUGUGGGAAGUUUGGGGAGGGCAGAGGGCUGGAAUCUGAGUGCCUGGUCUGUGCCAUGUGGGCAAUAUGCCCAAAGUGUGACACUGGCUACGCACUUUAGUGAGAUAAAGGGGGAAACAAGGGGCUGCUGAGGUGGCCCGUGGGGUGUGUUCCCAGAUAUUUAUGAGUGGAGUUCUAGUUGAGGUCUGUGCGUGAAGGAAGGGCAGGACGUGGUACUUGGGUCCAUGCAGGGCAUGAAGGCAGGGAUUAAAGAACAGGUGAGGCAUUAAAAGUGAGGAGAACUUAAUCUACAGAAUUAUAAGCUUAAUGACAGGACAAGGGAGAACAGUCCCCCCGACCCCCCUACCACCGUACGUGGACUGUCUGUCCAGAACAGCCCUCCUGGAGCAAGUCUCUGUCUCCCUCUAGCUGGUGCCUCUGUCAAACUCGCCCUCCUGGGCUCUUCACCUUCAUCCGUGGGCAUCCCUGGACUUCAGCAGGACCCAUUCCCAGCAGGAGCUCCCCGAAUCACCCCAGCGAUCCCCCCACUACCACCUCCUCCACCUCUACCACCUCCACAAUGCAUCACAGGACCCAGACCUCUGCAGGGUCCCAAAGAUAAAAAACAUGCCACCCAGAUCCUCAGAAAUAUGCUGAGGCGGAAAGGAAAAGGAUUACAGGUAACCCCACUGCCAGCGGUAGGCUGGCCAUUGCUGAGUGAAAUAAACUUUCUCAGAGCAGCCACUGCCAACGUGCACAACUUCAUUUACAGGCAAUAUCCCAUCACAGUAAAACCGCAAAAAAUGAAACAUCCGGACCACUAAAGAAUGACCAUUGGCCGGUAGAAUUUAUUAAAGCGGAACUUUACUAGUAGAAUGAAUAGGAUUCUCCAUGUGUAAUAGGUUAGGAUAGUGAAUAUGUAGACCAAAAAAGGUCAAUGGAGUUUAUCUGGGACAUUUCCAAGGAAAGGAAGGGAAAGAGAGAAGAAAGGAAGGGGCAGGUGAGUCCUGGGCCAGCCUGAUAGAGGUGGGGAGCACUUGGAUGAAGGAUGAAGAGAGUUUUCAGGCCUAGAAGUGAUGUGCACAGAGAACAGUAAGUAGAUUAAUUUGCUGGAGUAGAAUAACCAGAUUCCUAUUACAGCCAUACAUGUAAGUGCCGCCGUAUACAGAACAUGGUUGGCCAGGCGUGAGUGGCUCACACCUGUAAUCCAGCACUUUAGGAGGCUGAGGUGGGCAAAUCACAAGAUCAAGAGAUCAAGACCAUCCUGGCCAACAUGGUGAAAUCCCGUAUCUACUAAAAAUACAAAAAUUAGCCGGUCGUGGUGGUGCAUGCCUGUAGGCCCAGCUACUUGGGAGGCUGAGGCAGGAGAAUCACUUUGAACCCAGGAGGUGAAGGUUUUAGGGAGCCGAGGUUGCACCACUGCACUCCACCCUGGCAACAGAGUGAGACUCUGUUCAAAAAAAAAAAAAAUUGUUUUAUUUUCUAGGCUAUAUAGAAAUGGAAAAGAUUCUGGUUCUUCCCCUCAACAUGUUUAAAAUCUAAUGGAGGAAAUUUAAAUUACAGUAGGAGAGAGAGUGGGAGGAACAAAGAGCUUACAAUAAGAGAACAAAGGAGAGCACAAUUAAGUACUAAUGGGAA